GACGAACGCUGGCGGCGUGCCUAAUACAUGCAAGUCGAGCGGACCGGAUUGGGGCUUGCCUUGAUUCGGUCAGCGGCGGACGGGUGAGUAACACGUGGGCAACCUGCCCGCAAGACCGGGAUAACUCCGGGAAACCGGAGCUAAUACCGGAUAACACCGAAGACCGCAUGGUCUUCGGUUGAAAGGCGGCCUUUGGGCUGUCACUUGCGGAUGGGCCCGCGGCGCAUUAGCUAGUUGGCGAGGUAACGGCUCACCAAGGCGACGAUGCGUAGCCGGCCUGAGAGGGUGACCGGCCACACUGGGACUGAGACACGGCCCAGACUCCUACGGGAGGCAGCAGUAGGGAAUCUUCCGCAAUGGGCGAAAGCCUGACGGAGCGACGCCGCGUGAGCGAAGAAGGCCUUCGGGUCGUAAAGCUCUGUUGUGAGGGACGAAGGAGCGUCGUUCGAAGAGGGCGGCGCGGUGACGGUACCUCACGAGAAAGCCCCGGCUAACUACGUGCCAGCAGCCGCCGUAA
rnacentral:rRNA from 1 species